rnacentral:tRNA from 1 species
GGGGAUGUAGCUCAGUGGUAAAGCACUUGCCUAGCAUUCAUGAGAUCCUGGGUUUGAUCUCCAGCAUUGCAA